rnacentral:lncRNA from 1 species
GUAAUAUUUUGUGAGUGUAAUACAAGUAAUUUGUUUACUUGUUUUGUCUCUCCAACACUUGUGUUAGAGUUGUGUACUCUAAGUUUCCCAACAUUCUUCGCUUCACGAUUGCCAUUUUCACAAGUGAUGAUGUUCCUUUCAUGUCAAGCAAUGAAUCAUUGCGCAUGCUAGAAAAGAAAAAGGCAGCAUUCUUCUCCCUUUUUUCUUAUAUCUUCAAGUUGAAGCUUGAAUCUUUUUGGUUCAUGAUUUCCCCAACAUCUUCGUAAAGCGAGUUGAAGCGCCUGAAAUGUAUGUUUAAAAUUUUUGACCCCAAAACUACAUUGAAUAUUUCUAUCACUUAAAAAUUAAAAGAAUUUGAGGGGUCUGUUGUCCAGGUCGACCCUGCAAUAACACUUUAAAUUCAUGCCGGUUUAAACCUUGGAAACAAUCACACAAAAGAUUCCUUUCCUUGUUUGCUGAAAAAUAUAUCCAUUUUACGUGUCCUGGUUUUGCAAUCCAACAAAUUUUAUGGACGCAUUGCAUCACAACAACUUGAUAAGGCCAACAUUUACAAUCAAACUCAUAGAAUUUUCAGAUGAUGACGACACAUUUGGUUUUCUUUUGAGGAUGGUAUAACAAUUACCAUAAAACGUUCAAGGACGGAUAUGGUUAAGAUUCUAACUAUCUUGGCCUUGGUUGAUUUCUCAUGCAACAAUUUCAGUGGACCAAUACCCAAGGAAAUGGGAGAGUUUAAGUCACUCUAUUUCCUUAACUUGUCUAGUAUUUCUUUCACAGGCAAAAUCCCAUCGUCAUUUGCCAACAUGCAUCAACUCAAGUCGUUAGACCUCUCACAGAACAAGCUGAGCAAGCAAAUUUCACCGCAGUUGGCAAAGCUUACUUUCCUAGAAUUAUUGAAUCUCUCAAACAAUCAACUUGUCAGGUACUCAGAUUUCAACAUUUCUAAAAGCCUCGUUUACAGGUAACAAAGGACUAUGAGGGCCCCUUUGUUUGCCGAUAAGAAAGCAGGAUUGUCACCACUCACCACCACCACAAUCAAAUGGAAGCCACUCGAAUUCCGGACGUGAGAUUGUUAGGGAUCUUAUCGGUGUUGAAAUUGGAUUUAUGUUUGGCUUAGGAGUUGUGAUUAUUUAUCUUUCCGGCAACAAGUGAGUUGAAGUUACGUGCAAAACUAAUCUAAAUUCUAGCUUAGUUUGGCUUAAAGUUGUGUUCUGCUUUAAAAUUCUUUUUGUUGGGACUAAGCAAGUGCAUGAUGCAAUGCAAAUAUCAAUAAAAUGAAAUCUAUCAAUUUCAACAGAAGCUUCAUAGCAAUAUGAUCCGAAACUACAUGGAAAGCUUUAGAUUAUGUACUUGCCGCAUGCAUGUAGUUUUUUCUUCAAAUAUGAAAAAACUAAUGCCAUGCAUGUUAUGUCUGCUAUACAAUUACCUCUUCCAGCCUUGGAAAAUCAACAUGCACAAACAUUUAUUGGGAACCCGAAGAGCACGGGGGUAGUGUGAAUGUGACUGUCAUCUACGUACAUCUUCCACUUGGCUGUGCUGAUGUUUGUAGGGGCGAAAUUUCUCGCUCUCUUCCCCACUUCCUUUUUUUUUUCUUUGAGCACCUUAGUUAGUCCGGCAGAUGUAGAAAGACUUCAAAGUCAAGUAACGCCCAAGUCUUCUGGAGCUGUACGUAGCUGUCUGCAAUUUUCAGUCUCAAUCAAAAUUAGAGAUAGAUUAAUGAAGAAACUAGAGAAAUAGAGACAAUAAAGAUUGUAAUCAACAGCUGUGGGGCACAAUCGUGCCUUAUACUUGCAAGGAUGUGGAGGUAAAAGAGUCUCACAACGGUGAAAUGAGAAACCUCGCACAAUCGUACCUUAUGUCUGCAAUUUUCAGUCUCAAUCAAAAUUAGUAAGGUCUCUAAAUAACAUAUAAUAAGUUGACAUGCAUAAAAUAAAUUAAUUAAUAAUUAAAAGAUACACGGUCAAUUUGGUUUAGUUCUUUCAGUUUUAAAAGUAUCAAAACCGAACCAAAUUAAAAGUAAAUCAGUUUGGUUCCCAUUUUAAAUUGUUUGACCUUUUUCUUGGUCAAAACCAAACCAAAUCGACCAAUAUGGUCUAUAUCGGUCAGUUGGAUGUCCACUCCUAUCCAAAAUAAAUAGAAAAAGAAGAAAAUAAUUUAGGCUUACUUUUAGCUACGCCCCCUAACUCAAAAGCCCCUACUUUACUUCCUGAAACUCAAAUUCGUUUCACUUUGAUGUGUGGACUCUCUCUUCUCCAUAAAACUUAUAUAAGUCACCUCUGCAAACAUAUGUGAGACCCAACACCUAAUAAAACUAUGCCACAUGGUGCAAUAAAUUUGAUUAUCAAUCUCCAUUAUGCAUUAACAUUCAAUAACCAGCUAAUAUUAAGUUUAAAAGAAAUCGAAGAAAUGAAAAAAAGAAAAAAGUAAAUUGAUUAGCUUGACUUAAACCCACAUAAGAAAUUAACAGAUCUAAGGUAAUGAGAGCGAAUUUUGAAUUUUAUAGGUACGACUUUCAAGUUUCAGAGGGGCAAAAUAUGAUCAAAAUCGAGUUCCAAGAGGCACAGUGGAGCGAAGUUUGAGUUCCAAUGAGUAAAUUGACAACUUUUGAGUUACAAGUGGUAAAAUCAAAUUCGAGUUUCAAGGAGCGUAGGUAAAAAUGAGCCAAUAAUUUAUAUGAGAAUAUUUGGAGUACGAACACGUAUUAAAUGCAAAUAAUCUAGAAGGCCAUAUUAGAUGCUGUAUUAGAAAAAUCAGAUAAUGUAGUAGAGUUUUUAUAAGAGAAAAUUAUAAAGACAUUACAAAGUUAAAAAGAAAAAUCUUAAGACUAAGAUGUUGUAAAUAAUGGGUAUGUUUGCCCACAUGUGUAUAGUAAUGUGUAUAGUAAAGUAUCACAUGUGUGUACUAUAUACUUAUAAGCUAAAUAGUAAUGUUUUGUAAUUUUCCAUUGAAGUAGCUCUAUAAAUAGAGCACUUCAAUUGUGCAAAGAGAAGUGAAUGAGAAGAAGAAAGAAAAGAGAAAUAUAUCUAAUAGCAAUAAUAUACAUUACUUCCUCUGCAACAGCUUGUGUCGGUAUAUUACUCUGCAACUGCUUCGUUCCUUCACCGAGUAAAGGUUAUCUCUCUAUAAAUUUUGCCUAUUUAUAACACGUUAUCAGCAUGACUCUCUAAUCAUUUUCUCAUUUCCCUUCACCGAAAGAAAAAAGAAUGUUUCCUCUAAGGUUUUUACUGUUCUUCUUCUUCCUCUCCCUCAAUUGCUAGGUAUACCCUCGCGAAGAACUGUUUGCACCAUGUUUACUUCUAGUUCUCCAACUAACAGUCACUUAUAUAUUUGAUUUCUUGUUUGGUGUAGAUAUUGACUACUAACCCACUGAUUAUUUAUGCAAUCCAAGAUUGUGCGGUUCUAUCGCCUAUCUUGGACUGCAGAUCUAAUUUUACUGCAAAUUUUAAGUGGAGCGGUAUAAUCGCCCGCUCUAUCCUACAUAUUUAAUUUUAUCGCAAUUUUAGGUGGUGUGAAAUAAUCACCCACCCUGCUUUACAUAUUUAAUUUUAUCGCAAUUUUAGCAAUUUUAGGUGGUGUGAAAUAAUCACCCACCCUGCAAUAAUCACCCACCCUGCUUUACAUAUUUAAUUUUAUCGCAAUUUUAGGUGGUGUGAAAUAAUCACCCACCCUGCUUUACAUAUUUAAAUUUUAUCGCAAUUUAAAUUUUAUUGCAAUUUUAGGUGGUGCGGUAUAAUCGUCCACCUUGCUCUACAUAUUUAAAUUUUCCUGCUGUUUAAAGUAGUGCGGAAUAAUCGUUCAUCCUAUAUUUAUUUCGAUGAGAAUGGUGCGGUACAAUUGCCCUUCUCAUUAAUUGUGUAAAUCUCGAGCCUGAAGUUUCGAGUACUUAUCAUUUUGGCCUGAAGAUCAAAAAUUUGUAAGAACCAGAAGUUCUAACAAUAUAUUUCUCCAGUACACAUAUUACUGCAAGUUCUUACACACCUCAUUUUUCUUUCAGAAAAGAAAAUGGCAAACUUGGCAAAACUUGAUUUUGCUGCCCUGGACAUUACUGGAAAGAAUUACCUUACAUGGGUACUGGAUACCAAGAUCCAUCUAGAAGCAGCAAAUCUUGGAGAUACCAUCAAGGAAGAAAGCAGCUCAUCCUCUCAAGAUCGGGCAAAGGCCAUGAUUUUUAUUCGUCGCCAUCUUGAUGAGGCACUAAAGAGCGAGUACUUAAUGGUUGAAGAUCCGUUAGCCCUUUGGAAUGCCUUGAAAAGCAGAUACAAUCACCAGACAACGGUGAUUCUUCCAAAAGCUCGCUAUGACUGGACUCACCUAAGGAUCCAGGAUUUCAAAUCAGUGGCUGAGUACAAUUCGGCGUUGUUCAGAAUUACCUCUCAGAUGAAACUCUGUGGGGAUACUAUCACUGAAGAGAUGUUAUUGGAAAAGACUUUCAGCACAUUCCACGCCUCUAACAUGGUACUGCAACAACAGUAUAGAGCACGAGGCUUCACUGAAUACAACCAGCUGACAUCUGUGCUCCUGGUAGCUGAACAGAACAAUGAGCUUCUCAUGAAAAACCAUAAUUCCUGACCUACUGGAUCAGCACCGUUCCCAGAAGUGAAUGUUGCUUCCCUUGAAAGGAAUACCAUAUCCUCCCGUGGCAAUAAUUACAAACGAGGACGUGGUCACAAGUAAGGUCGGUGGAAAGGGAAAAGCAAGAACCAUGGUGUCCAGUUUCACAACCAAGUUCCAAGGUAUAAUCCAGGCCCGAGCUUUAAAAAUACCAAUCGCCAGAAAGGAAAAGCUCAUGUGAACACUCCUAGAAAUCAUGAAGGAGGUUGCCAUAGGUGUGGUGGCAACGGACAUUGGGCGCGUACUUGUCGCACCCCAAAGCAUCUGGUGGAACUAUAUCAAGCCUUCUUCAAGGAGAAGGGUGUCGAGAUCAAUUUCCUUGACCAGGCUAAACCAAUGGAAACCCCUGAUCCAGUGACCAAUUUAUCAGGACAGUUAAACACAACCCACCUGGAUGCUACAAACUUUAUUAAUGAAAGAGGGAAUGAAGUUUAUGGGUCCGAUUGAAUUAUUUAUGUUUAAUGUACUCAUGUUAUUUGUACCUGUGGUUUAAUGCUAGCAUUUUCAAUUCAAUAAAAGUAGUAUUCUAGUAUGAAUAAACUGCUUUUUCUUUGCUCAGAGAUCAUGGAUAAAAAUUAUGGUUAUUCUCAAAACAAGAUCAAUGGCGGAGACUUUUGUCUUGCAGAUAGCGCAACCACGCAUUCAAUACUUCGAGAUCGAAAGUAUUUCUCGAAUUUGGUACUUGCAAAAGUAAAGGUAACAACAAUAUCAGGACCAUCAGAUGUAAUUGAAGGCUCAGGAAAAGCCCAGAUUAUGUUACCAAAUGGAACAAUAUUGUCUAUAAAGAAUGCAUUAUAUGCUACUCGGUCCAUUCGAAAUUUGUUGAGUUUUAAAGACAUACGUCUAAAUGGAUACCACCUUGAAACGAAAAGUGUAGAAAAUGUGGAAUAUUUAUGCAUUACCUCCAAUGAUACCCAGAAGCGUAUAUUGGAGAAGUUGCAUGGUUUAUCGAGUGGAUUGUAUUGUACAUACAUAAAGACAGUUGAGGCAUAUACUGUCAUGAACCAGAAGUUCAUUGAUUCAAAGGUUUACAUGCUUUGGCAUGACCGUCUAGGUCAUCCAGGAUCUACCAUGAUGCGUAGAAUCAUUACCAACUCUAAUGGACAUCCAUUACUGAGCAGACACAUUAAUGUCUCGAAUGAUAAACCUUGCAAGGCUUGUUCCCAAGGGAAGUUGGUAAUUAGACCAUCACAACUAAAGGUUGAUGAUGAAUCCCCAUCAUUUUUGCAAAGAAUUCAAGGGGAUAUUUGUGGACCUAUUCAACCACCUUGUGGACCAUUUCGAUAUUUUAUGGUUUUGGUUGAUGCAUCUACCCGAUGGUCACAUGUUUGCCUAUUGUCUACUCGAAAUGUAGCUUUUGCAAGACUUCUUGCUCAGAUAAUUAAGUUGCGAGCACAGUUCCCAGAUCAUCCCAUUAAGUCCACUCGACUUGAUAACGCUGGUGAAUUUACGUCUCAAACCUUUGAUGAUUACUGUAUGGCACUGGGCAUUAAUGUUGAACACCCUGUUCCUCAUGUCCAUACUCAAAAUGGUUUAGCAGAGGCAUUUAUCAAGCGGCUUCAAUUAAUAGCCCGCACUCUGCUCAUGAAAACAAAAUUGCCAGUUUCUACAUGGGGACAUGCCAUAUUACAUGCUGCAUCAUUGGUUAGAUUGAGACCCAUAGCCAACCACCAAUACUCAUCAAUACAACUCGUGUUUGGACAUCAGCCAAAUAUUUCACAUUUACGAGUUUUUGGUUGUGCUGUUUAUGUGCCUAUUGCACCACCACAACGAACUAAAAUGGGACCUCAGCGCAGAUUGGGAAUUUAUGUGGGUUUUGAUUCACCAUCUAUCAUUAGAUAUUUGGAACCUUUGACUGGUGAUGUGUUUACAGCUCGUUUUGCUGAUUGUCAUUUUGAUGAGACAGUUUUCCCGUCGUUAGGGGGAGAAAAGACCGUUCCAGAAGAACGACAAAAGCUAACAUGGGUUGUUCCCACCUUAUCUCAUUUUGAUCCAAGAAGCACUCAAUGUGAAAACGAAGUGAAAAGAAUCGUUCAUCUUCAAGGUAUUGCUAAUCAAAUACCAGAUGCAUUUAAUGAUGCUUCGAAAGUGACACAGUCAUAUAUACCGGCUGCAAACGCACCUGCAAUAAUUGAUGUCCCUGUUGGACAAAAUAAAGUGGUAGCGAAUGAUUCAUCCAGUGCACGCCUGAAGCGUGGUAGACCCCCAAGUUCAAAAGAUUCAGCCCCUCGAAAGAGAAAGAUGAGGGCCCAAUUGAACCCAAAUGAUAUCAUUCAAGAAAAGGAAUUGAAUGAUAAAUCCACAAUUCAUGACUCUGUACUUCCAGAAAAAGAAAAUGUCCUUGAUGAGAUACAUGUCCCUGAAGAGACAGAAGUACAUGAAAGCAAAGAAAUAUCCAUAAAUUAUGCAUGUACUAAUGAAUUGUGGGAUCGAAAUGAAAUAAUCAUCGAUGACAUGUUUGCAUUUGCAAUAGCCACUGAAAUUAUAUUAAGUGAUGAUAUUGAGCCCCGCUCUGUUGAUGAAUGCAAACAGAGAUAAGAUUAGCCUAAGUGGAAAGAUGCAAUCCAGGCAGAAUUAAAAUCCUUGGAAAGACGAAGUGUUUUUGGACCAGUAGUCGAAACCCCGCCUGGUGUGAAUCCUGUAGGUUAUAAAUGGGUAUUCACAAGGAAAUGCAACGAGAAAAACGAGAUUGCAAGAUAUAAAGCACGACUCGUUGCACAAGGUUUUUCACAAAGACCUGGAGUUGAUUAUGAAGAGACAUACUCUCCUGUAAUGGACACAAUUACGUUCCGUUACUUAAUAAGUUUGGUGAUUUCAGAAAAACUUGACAUGCGACUUAUGGAUGUCAUCAUCGUGUAUCUAUAUGGAGAAUUAGAUACUGACAUAUAUAUGAAAGUCCCAGAAGGACUUAAGUUGCCUGAAGCAACUAACAAACCACGGGGUAUGUUCUCAAUCAAAUUAAGGCGAUCACUAUAUGGGCUGAAACAAUCUGGGCGAAUGUGGUAUAAUCGUCUCAAUGAGUAUUUGAUUAAAGAAGGAUAUGCCAACAAUGUCAUCUGCCCUUGUGUGUUCAUUAAGAAAUCAAAUACUGGAUUUGCUAUAGUGGCAGUAUAUGUCGAUGAUAUGAACCUAGUUGGAACCCCUGAAGAGCUCAACAAAACUGUUGAAUAUCUGAAAAGCGAAUUUGAAAUGAAAGACCUUGGGAAAACCAAAUAUUGUUUAGGCCUGCAGAUCGAGCAUUGUGUUAGUGGAAUUUUGGUCCAUCAAUCAACUUACAUUGAAAAAAUACUGAAGCGAUUUGGCAUGGACAAGGCUUAUCCACUUAGCACCCCAAUGGUCGUUCGUUAUUUGGACAUUAAGAAAGAUCCAUUUCGUCCAAAAGAAGAUGAUGAACUUGUCCUUGGUCCAGAAGUACCAUAUUUGAGCGCAAUAGGUGCUUUAUUGUAUUUAGUACAAUGUACUAGACCAGAUAUAGCUUUUUCAGUUAACUUGUUAGCCAGGUACAGCUCUGCUCCAACAAUUCGUCAUUGGAAGGGAGUCAAAGAUGUUCUACGAUACCUUCGUGGGACAAAAGAUAUGGGUCUCUUCUACUCAGACAAGCCCACAAAUGAACAAAUCCUUGUUGGAUACGCAGAUGCUGGUUUUCUCUCCAAUCCGCAUAAAGCCCGCUCACAAAAUGGAUAUGUGUUCACUAAUGGAGAUACUGCAAUUUCAUGGCGAUCAACAAAGCAAACGUUAGUUGCAACAUCUUCCAAUCAUUCGGAAAUAAUUGCUUUACAUGAAGCAAGUCGUGAAUGUUCUUGGUUAAGAUCAAUGAUCCAUCACAUCCGGAAUUCAUGUGGUCUACCUUCAAAGACAGACACUCCAACUGUCAUCCAUGAAGAUAAUGCAGCCUGUGUCGCCCAGAUGAAGGAAGGAUUUAUCAAAGGUGAUAAGACUAAACACAUAUCUCCAAGAUUUUUCAGCGCACAUGAGCUUCAGAAGGCUAAAGUUAUUGAAGUCAGAAAAAUCCGUUCCAAUGAAAAUUUAGCAGACUUGUUCACCAAAUCUCUACCAAAGUGCACAUUUCAGAAGUUGGUACAGGGAAUCGGAUUACGUCGGCUUACAUAUUUGAAGAAUGCGGAAUCAGGGGGAGAUACAAUUCAGGGGGAGCAUCCAUGAUACAUGCAUGUUGUACUCUUUUCCCUUCGCUUAGGAUUUUUCCCACUGGGUUUUUCCUAUCAAGAUUUUAACGAGGCAACCUAAGCAUGCUCAACACCAUCCGGGUAAAGUUGUACUCUUUUUCCUUCGCUAUGGUUUUUUCCCACAGGGUUUUUCCAAGCAAGGUUUUAAUGAGGCAACUGAUGUUGAUAUGUGGGCAUCCAAGGGGGAGUGUUGUAAAUAAUGGGUAUGUUUGCCCACAUGUGUAUAGUAAUGUGUAUAGUAAAGUAUCACAUGUGUGUACUAUAUACUCAUAAGCUAAAUAGUAAUGUUUUGUAAUUUUCCAUUGAAGUAGCUCUAUAAAUAGAACACUUCAAUUGUGCAAAGAGAAGUGAAUGAGAAGAAGAAAGAAAAGAGAAAUAUAUCUAAUAGCAAUAAUAUACAUUACUUCCUCUGCAACAGCUUGUGUCGGUAUAUUACUCUGCAACUGCUUCGUUCCUUCACCGAGUAAAGAUUAUCUCUCUAUAAAUUUUGCCUAUUUAUAACAUAAGAAAGAUUUUUGCAACGUUUUGUGGUAUGCUGGUUUUUCCUGUUCUCGUGGGGGAAGGCAGAAUUGGCGCAUCUAACUAGUCCUAUCAAAGAGCGGUAAUGCCCCAUCUAUUCUAGCACACCAAGGGAGACCCAAGCAUCAAGAACCAAAGGGGAUCUUGCCGAUUCCGAUUAACUUGUGAAAAAUGGGAAAACCAUACUUGAAACAUUUACUACAUUGUGACCAUAAUUAAAGUGAAAUACAAGUAAUUUUUUUUAAUUAAAAACAUAAUUAUAAAGAAUUUUUCUUACUAUAUGAAAUCUACAUUUUGGCUAAAUCCGUUAGGAUCAUCAGAACGCAUCGAGACAUUUAUCUCCAUUUUUCACAAAGACACAUUGGUAACAUAUUUAAGGGUAGCCUACCUGGUUUCCUAACAAGCUUAGUAACAUGUAUAGAUAUUUUAAAUGAAUUUGCUCAAAAUCGCAAGGAGAGGGGGGAGAUUUUUUAUGCUUAAAUAUACUAUGAUUAUGUUCAAUUCCCUCGAAUUGAAGAAAUUUCAUAGUGUAUUUUAAACAUUUACAAAUCUCACAUUUCCCCCGAAAUUUUGAAGAAUUUCACUCACCAAAAUCCCUAACUUUAGACAAACCAAUCAAGACUUCAAAAAUCAAAGUCAAUCCAUAAAAGCAAUCUCAUAAUUCCACAAUGUUAUGAAUAAAUCCAAUCAUAUCAAUUAGUAUCUCUCAUGUUACGAAUUUCCACUUGCUUUGUGUUAACUUGGAGGCUAUUUGUAAACUUGUGACUAGGAUUUGGUCAAAGGACUUGCCUACACUCAAGAUGCAAUAAUAUAUAGCUAUUGAUCGAUUGAUAAUUACAGAUAUAGCUGGAGUUCUAUUGUCUCGUGAUAUUCUUAUGUAUCUUUCUUUUCUUUUCUUUUGGGCUUAUGCUCCGUUGUCAACCAAAAAAAAAAAAUUGUGUGAGAUUUUCAUAUUCACAUACGAUAAUCAAUGCAAAAAGACAAAAAAAAAAAAAAAAAAAAAAAAAAAAAACUAAGACUUCAAAGUUUAUAAGUCAACAAAUCAACUCAAUAUUAUCACAAUUCCACAAGUUGACAUAUCAUCUACGUUCAUCUUCCACUUAGCUAGCUGGUGUUUGUGUGCUGGGCUUUCGCCCUCUUCCCCACUUUCUUUGAGCACCUUUAUUAGAGCAUUCCCAAUGUUAGCUUUAUCUUCUAUGAGGCUACCACAUUUCUAGCCUUAGCGAGAAAUUUCAUCCCCAAUAAACAAGAAAAUGGGGUUAGAUCCACCACCGGGACUAACAACUUCCUUUCUUGGGUAGCAUAAAAUCGGGCUACAUCUAGCCCCAAAAAACUGUGGGCCCCACACAAAAAGUAGCAAUGCAUGUGAGCAAAAUUCUAUCACUCUCCCUCCACUUGCAAAUACACUUAUACUCUCCUUUUAUUAUUUUUUAAUUCUUUUUUCAUACUUAUUUUUCUUGCAAUUUGGCUAAUUAAUGAUUGUUUUAAAUUCCAUAAGAAUUAAAAUUUCAAAUUGAUUUAACGUUCAUGGGCAUUGAUGGGUGAAAUUUUCAUAUAUUUUUUUUUCAAAAUUGUAUGAUACUAAUUUACCAAUUGGUGCUAGGUGAAUUGUUGUGUUAUACGUGAAAAUCAAAAAUUAUUUUAGAGGGCGAAGUGGAAGUUUGUUUCUUUCAACGGAUGAGAUUGAGAUAAGGAAAUAUAAUCGAACGAACAAUUCAUAAGUGAUGAAAUCUAACUUUACCACAAUUUGAAGGAUAGAGUCCAAAAGAUAUAGUCCCUCAUUGGGAGAGAUUCUUUUAUAAAGCCCCAAAGAUUCCUCAGAGUUGGGCUAUAUCCAGCACUUUUUCAACCCCAUAUAGAACCCCUCGUUGGGGAUGCUCUUAGUCAGUCAAUUGCCCUAGCCCCACUGGGCAAAAAGAAAAAAGGAAAAAAAGAAAAUGACGAAGACUUUAAAGUCUUUUAAGUCAACAAGUCAAUCAAACAAUAUUUCAAUUUCACAGUGUGAUUUAUCUCAUCCACCUCCUGCGUGACGCUACAUUUAUAAUGGCCCGACGAACUUAAUGGCAACCCCAGAGAGCACGUCCUGACGCCUUUUUUUCCAAUUCUCUAUCCAAUGGCUCUACUAGACAGAUGUGGAAAGACUUCAAAGUCAACAACGCACAAGUCUUUUGGAAAGGUAGCUAUCUGCAGUUUUCAGCCUCAGUCAAAAUUAGAGACAGAUAAAUGAAGAAACUGAAGAGAAAUAGAGACAAUGAAGAUUGUAAUCAACAGCUGCUGGGCACAAUCGUGCCUCAUACCUUGAAAAGAGAAAAAAAAAAACAAACAAACAGAACUGGAAGUGUUUGGAUAAAGAGAUAAUUAUGAAGUCAGAGAGACAUUAACGUAAUGAUAAUAACUAGUUUAAAGAAAUCAUAACAACUAAACUCGUCUAAACAGCAAUAGAUUUUGUGUGACCAUAGGCUCAAACUAAUUUUCGUCGGUAACACAAGUUUUUCUUCUAAGUGAGAUAUGCUAUAUUAACUGUCAAUCUUUCAAAAUUUUGGAUUGGCUUUAAUUGGUACUUAGGCACUGAUGAUGUCUGGUUUAAAAUCUUGGGCUUCCAACCCUAAAGUUCAAUAACAACUGUAGUCAGAAGCCAUGAAUACGGAGCUGUGAGGGUGAAUUAUCACAGCUUUCUUCAUGAUGCAGCACGAAAUGAUCAAAGGGUUACCAACGUAAUUCGUUGGAAUCCAUCAGAAAAUUUAGAGAAAUCCCAAAAGUUGGUAAUUGAUUAAUUCUUGAAUGAUCAAAUGAUUACAUCCAGAUAACUUAAACAAAGUUUACAAAGGUUUGGAACAACUCAAAAAGACUUCCAAAAAUUAAAACAACUUUAACUAAACAUUGAUCAGAUGGAAAACCAAAAGUCCGAUUUUAAUACAAAACAUAAAAUGUUGAUUUGGAGGCUGAAACGACCCCGGAUUCCAUCGGAGCUCAAGUUUGACUCGUGGCUUCGUUUCCUUUCCGAAAAGGUAUCACUGGUCCAAUUCAUAGCUCAAACACCAAAUAGACAAAUUCUCACUACGUCCUUUCGUCUUCUUACGGUCCAUCUCCUCCUCAAUCCAUUCUACCAUUUGUUUUACAUCACUUCGUCAAAUCCUUGUGUACACGCAGUGCAGUGCUAGCCCUGCCCCCACUCUCCUUUCCCAAGUCUAUCCUUUCCCCCUUCUUUUCUGGCAAAUGCAGAGAGGAGAAGAGAACAAAGACUUGAUAAGUCAAGCCAACCACACAUUGCAUACAUGGAAGCCUUUUCCAAUUCUAUAAGACCAUCUCCAACUGAAGGCUGGCCAGAUGGCUCGUUUUAGCCUUCUGGCCAUCCAAGAAAUUAAUAUUUUAAUGAACAAUACAUGACCAUAUUUGCCUUCAUCUCCAACCGAGGGCCAAAGGGCCAUAAGGCUCAUUUUAGCCCUGUCACAAAAAAACGUCUCCAACCGAGGGCCAAACAUAACAUAAUUUAUUAUUUAAAAACUACAACUUAAAUUCAAAUCCAAUGGCUAAGUGACAUCAACUAGUGGUUGGAUUUGAAUUUUUUUUUUUUGCUAUAAAUAGGGUGGAUAUUGGGCUAUAAUUCACACAACUUUGAAUUCAAUCUAUUUCAAUUCAAUCUCUUUCAAUUCAAGUUUGCAAUGAAUUCCAACUUUGAAUCCUCUUCAGAUUCCAACUGGGGGUCCUCAUCCAAUUCCACAUUGGAAGAAAAAUGGGCGCAAUUGGGCACAAAAAUAUGAAACAAAUUUUGUAAAAUAGAAGUUAUAGGAAAAAAAUGGAAUUUAAAAAAAAAGAAUAUUUUUUGUAAAAUAGAAGUUAUAGGAAAAAAAAAAGAAUUUAAAAAAAAAUAUAUGAAACAAAUUUUGUUUCAUAUGAAGGCAAUAAAGGCAGAAGUUGAAAAACUCAAAGGCAUAGGCUUCGUCCGCAAAGUCAAUUAUCCAACGUGGGUAGCAAAUGUUGUCCUUGUUAAGAAGAAUCCGACCAAGGAAAGUCUCCUGCUCCAAAAUGUCUUAUGGAGAAUGUGUGUCGAUUACACCGACCUAAACAAAGGAUGCUCGAAGGAUAGCUUUCCUCUUCCUUUCAUAGACAGACUUAUAGACUCUACGGCAUGGUGUGAACUCCUGAGCUUCAUGGAUGCUUACUCAGGAUACAACCAAAUCCUUAUGAACCCUACGAACCAAGAAUACACAGUCUUCACUACUGACAGGGGACUAUAUUGCUAUAAAGUCAUGCCCUUCGGCCUUAAGAAUGCAGGAGCGACUUAUCAGAGACUGGUCAAUUCAAUGUUCACCGAACAGAUUGGGAAGAGCAUGGAAGUUUACGUUGAUGAUAUGCUAGUCAAUAGCAAACAUGCUGACCAACACAUCACCAACCUAUCUGAAACUUUCACCAUUCUGAAGAGGUAUCGAAUAAGGUUGAACCCCAACAAAUGUGCCUUCGGCGUAGGCUCUGGCAAAUUCUUAGGCUUCAUGAUAAGCCAACGAGGCAUUGAGGCUAAUUCCGAGAAGAUCAAAGCAAUCCUCGACAUGAAGGAACCGGUAACUUUAAAAGACAUCCAGAGCCUUACUGGCAAGGUGGCAGCCUUAACUAGGUUCAUUUCUAAGGCCACAGAAAAAUGUGCUCCUUUCUUCAAAGCACUUAAGGGAAGUAAGAAGUACAUUACAUGGACUGAUGAAUUGCUGAGGCAUUCAAGAACCUCAAAGACUACAUGAGUAAAGCCCCUUUGCUCUCCAAACCUGAGGUUGGUGACACUUUCAUUAUCUAUCUGUCGGUAUCAGCUUCAGCAGUAAGUUCCGUUCUCAUUCGAAAUGAUAGUAAUGUCGAACGGCCUGUCUACUACGCUAGGAAAGCCUUACAAGAUGCGGAGACACGAUACUCCAACAUUGAGAAAUUGGCUCUAGCAUUGGUCAUGUCUGCUUGAAAACUUUGCCCUUACUUCCAAGCACACUCCAUCAUCGUGCUUACCAAUCAUCAUCUUCAAUAGAUACUCCAAAGUCCUGACACUUCUGGGCGAAUGAUCAAAUGGGCGAUAGCAUUGGGUGAGUUUGACAUCUCCUACCAACCAAAGCCAGCUGAGAAGGGCCAAGCAGUGGCAAACUUCAUCCCCGACUUCACAUAUCCUGUUGACAUUGUUUCUACUCCUAAAGAAGUGGUUUCAUUACUCUCGGAAACUCAGAAAAUAGAACCAACAGCCCCAACAUGGAGUCUAUAUGUUGAUGGCUCGUCCAACCAACAGGGUUGUGGAGUAGGACUAGUCCUUAUGACCCCUGACAAAGUGGCGAUGGAGUAUGUUCUUCGUUUCAAAUUCAAGGCGUCGAACAAUGAGGCCGAAUAUGAAGCCCUCCUAGUAGGCUUACGUUUGGCCAAACACCUUGGGGUUAAACGAAUUGAUAUCUUCAGUGACUCCUAAUUGGUGGUUAACCAAGUCACCAACAACUUUGAUGAUAAGGAUAGCUCCAUGGCAGCAUAUCUGGCACAAACACAAUUGUUGCUCAAGCACUUCCACUACCAGAUCACCCAAAUUCCUCUACCGACAAACAGUCAUGCAGAUGCUUUGGCUCGCCUCGCCUCAGUGGUGGAAGACAAGAUUGGGAGAAAAAUUCAAGUCGAAUUGUUGGCAACACCAAGCACCAUGGUUGCGGAAGUGUGCAACUUACAAUAAGGGGAUAGUUGGAUUACCCCAAUUUAUAGAUUCCUUGCUCAUGGCACCCUUCUAAAUGACAAAGUCUAAGCUAAGCAGAUUUGAUACAAGGCUACCCGUUACUUGAUCAUUAAUGACCAACUCUACAAGCGGGGUUUUAACCUACCAUACCUAAGAUGCCUUACGCCCGCAGAGGAGGAAACUGUCUUUCAGGAAAUACAUGAAAGAGUCUGCGGAGAUCAUGCUGGAUCUCGAUCCUUAGCACACAAGGCUUUUCGCUAAGGAUAUUACUGGCCAACACUCCACCAAGAUGCCAUCAGAAUAUCUCGCUCAUGUGAUAAGUGUCAACGCUACACAACUAUUCCUCACUCCCAUCCCGAGCCGCUCACUCCUAUGAUCAACCCUUGGCCCUUCGCCCAAUGGGGACUUGAUUUGAUCAGCCCAAUACCUGCAGGGAAGGGCAAGGUUCGCUAUGCAAUCGUUGCAGUUGACUACUUCACAAAGUGGGCCGAAGUAGAACCUUUAGCAACCAUUACUGAGGCAAAAAUAGAAAACUUCGUAUGGAAGAACAUCCUUUGCAGAUUCGGCAUUCCCAAUGCGAUAGUCACUGACAACGGGUGACAAUUCGACAACAAUAAGUUCAGGAUGUUCUGCUCUAAGUUCAACAUCAACUUAUGUUUUUCCUCCCCAGCUCAUCCCCAGUCUAAUGGACAAGUUAAAGCCAUCAACAAAAUAAUCAAGCGAACUUUGAAAACCAGCUUGGACAAGGCUAAAGGUUGUUGGCCAGAAUUUGUACCCUAUGUUCUUUGGUCAUACCGCACUUCGUAUCGGACAUCAACAGGAGAAACCCCAUUCUCGCUUGCCUUUGGUACAACGACAGUUGUCCCAGUUGAGCUUGAGCAAGCAACGUUCCGAGUCCAGAACUACGUGCAAAGCGAAAAUGACAAACAACUUACCCUCAACUUAGAUUUAGUCGAGGAACACAGAAACCAGGCUCACUUGAGGAAUGUCGCCUACAAGCAGCGCAUCUCCAACUAUUAUGACUCAAGGGUCAAACCUCGUUCUUUCAAAGUGGGGGACUAGGUAUUGAAGAAAAGAUUACUCUGCGACAGAGUCCCGAGUGAAGGAACACUUGGUCCAAACUGGGAUGGACCUUUGAAGUUGUUGGCAUAAGUCGUCCUGUCUCCUACAAGCUUAGAAGUUCCGAUGGCAAGACCCUUGGCCAUCCAUGGAAUGCUGAUUACUUGAAGUACUAUUACAAGUAAACUUACAUUGUACAAGUGUUAAGCUUCAGCCGUUCGGCAUCCUAUGUAACUAAGACUAUUUGGCAUGAAUUCAAUAAAGAGGUGAUUUAGACAACUCGAUCAUAAUCCUCUUACAUUCCUAACAAUGAAACACUCAGGUUCAAAGCUUCAACAUGAAUGCUUCCAACAUGAAACAAAGUCUAAGUAUAUGUCAACAAGACUAUACAAAUAAACGAACAGUUUCACAGUAUAUUUGUUCAAUCAUGCAUUCCAACACAUUCAUACAUAAGCCAACUGUGCUUUGAAAGGGUUCAACAUAUUUUGUGUCAUUCGACACUUGCUACAAUGUGCCUAAACACCUCGCCCUUAUUCUCACCAACCAGGUGAUGAAAUGUACAACUCGUACUCUCCUUCAUGCCACCAACCAAGUGAUGAAAUGUACAGCUCGUACUCUAAUAUCAUUUGGCAACUUGCCAUUCAUGCCACCAACCAGGUGAAGAAGGAACUCAUCUUCAUGCCACCAACCAGGUGAUGAAAUGUACAGCCCGUACUCUCCUUCAUGCCACCAACCAGGUGAUGAAAUGUACAACCCGUACUCUAAUAUCAUUUGGCAACUUGCCAUUCAUGCCACCAACCAGGUGAUGAAAUGUACAAUCCGUACUCUCCUUCAUGCCACCAACCAGGUGAUGAAAUGUACAACCCGUACUCUAAUAUCAUUUGGCAACUUGCUACUCAUGCCACCAACCAGGUGAAGAAGGAACUCAUCUUCAUGCCACCAACCAGGUGAUGAAAUGUACAACCCGUACUCUCUUUCAUGCCACCAACCAGGUGAUGAAAUGUACAACCCAUACUCUAAUAUGAUUUGGCAACUUGCCACUCAUGCCACCAACCAGGUGAAGAAGGAACUCAUCUUCAUGCCACCAACCAGGUGAUGAAAUGUACAACCUAUACUUUCUUUCAUGCCACCAACCAGGUGAUGAAAUGAACAACCCAUACUCUAAUAUCAUUUGGCAACUUUCCAUUCAUGCCACCACCAAGGGAAGAAGGAACUCACAUUCGUACCACCAACCAAGUGAUGAAAGCAACUCACCAUUCAUUCCACCUACCAAAAGACGAGUGGUACAACUUGUACAUGUGAACUCCUAGCAUUCACAAAUAAUAAAAAAUCCUCAAGCUUGACAACUCAACUAGGGGAGCACUUAUGCCCAACAAGAGUUAUAGUCACCAACAAAGACUUAUUGCAAGCCAACAACAACUUUAGUGCCUAACAUACGAAGAUCAAGCUAUUCAGCCCUUUUGCAUCUGCUUCAAACAUUUCCCCUCUGUAACAAUGCAAACACUACAACUCGUAGAAAGCUUCACACACUCUUUAUCAAGACAGUGUGAAGCAAAACCAAUUUAUGGUGCCAACAAGAGCUUCAUCAAUGGAGGGCAACCACAAUUCUCAAAAGCUUCACACACUCUUGAUCAAGACAGUGUGAAGCAAAACCAAUUUAUGGUGUCAACAAGAGCUUCAUCAAAGGAGUUCAACCAUAAUUCUCAAAAGCUUCACACACUCUUUAUCAAGACAGUGUGAAGCAAAACCAAUUUAUGGUGCCAACAAGAGCUUCAUCAAUGGAGGGUAACCACAAUUCUCAAAAGCUUCACAUACUCUUGAUCAAGACAGUGUGAAGCAAAACCAAUUUAUGGUGCCAACAAGAGCUUCAUCAAAGGAGUUCAACCACAAUUCUCAAAAGCUUCACACACUCUUGAUCAAGACAGUGUGAAACAAAACCAAUUUAUGGUGCCAACAAGAGCUUCAUCAAUAGAGGGCAACCACAAUUCUCAAAAUCUUCACAAACUCUUGAUCAAGACAGUGUGAAGCAAAACCAAUUUAUGGUGCCAACAACAAGAGAUUCAUCAAUGGAGGGAAACCACAAUUCUCAAAAGUUUCACACACUCCUGAUCAAGACAGUGUGAAGCAAAACCAAUUUAUGGUGCCAACAAGAGCUUCAUCAAAGGAGUUCAACCACAAUUCUCAAAAGCUUCACACACUAUUGAUCAAGACAGUGUGAAGCAAAACCAAUUUAUGGUCAAGACAGUGUGAAACAAAACCAAUUUAUGGUGCCAACAAGAGCUUCAUCAAUGGAAGGCAACCACAAUUCUCAAAAGCUUCACACACUCUUGAUCAAGACAGUGUGAAGCAAAUCCAAUUUAUGGUGCCAACAAAAGCUUCACCAAAGGAGUUCAACCACAAUUCUCAAAAGCUUCACACACUCUUGAUUAAGACAGUAUGAAGCAAAACCAAUUUAUGGUGCCAACAAAAGCUUCAUCAAUGGAGGGCAACUACAAUUCUCAGACAUUCAAAGCAAAUUCAAUUUAUAUGGUUCAUCCAAACCUUUGACUACUACAAGGUGUGGCUUGCAUCACAAUCUCUUGCUCAACAGUGUGGAAGAAAAAUUUGUACAUGUUGUCUCUCCCACAUUUUCAAAUUUCUAGUUUCCCAAAAAAAAAAAAAAGGAAAUUCAACAAAGCUUCAUCAAUGGAGAACAACUACAGAUUCUCAAAAGUUUCACAUUAUCUUGAUCAAGAUAAUGUGAAGCAAAAUCAAUUCAUGAUACCCAACAAAAGCUUAAACUCCAAAGCUUCACCUACAAAGCUUAAACUCCAAAGCUUUACCUACAAAACUUCAACUCCAAAGCUUCACCAACAAAAGCUUCAUCAAUGGAGGACACCUACAAAUUCUCAAAAGCUUCACACUAUCUCGGAACAAACCCACAAACCUCUGAUGAUCAAGUAAAAUCUGACCAUCAGAUUCCUACAGCUGGUCGAGUUUCCUCUUCAUGUUUGUAGCAUAGUCAUGUGCGAGCCUGUGCAACUGUUUAUUCUCAUGCUUGAGCCCUCUGAUCUCCUGUUUGAGACUUAUCACUUCAGCCGCCAAUGAUUCAACUUGAUGGGUUCGAGCAAAUAGGCGUUGGGCCAUAUUAGAUACAGAACCUGCACACUGAACACUGAGAGCCAGAGAAUCCUUAACAGCCAACUCAUCAGACCGUUUGGAAAGUAGUCUGUUAUCUUUGGGAGUGAGAAGGUUCCUAGCCACCAUCGCAGUGGUCAUAUCAUUCUUCAUCACAGAGUCCCUAACGGUAAGAGAACCAGUAGGGGAUAAGAAGGAUGGGCACCAUAUGUUGUCUUGAGAAGGCAUGGUUGCCUCUUCACCAAAGUUUAAGUCAAAACAACGGUCGGAUGGGCCAGACAUUCUCAGAAAUGAUGAAGGAGAAAUGAGGUGCAAUAAAUCUCUAAAGUAAGGGGAAAAUUCCUACAAGCAAUAACUCUUUGAAUGUACUCCUUGCACACAAUUGGUGCCCUUAUAAAAGAAAGGGCAACAGGGUCGUUGGUUUAAAAAUUGAAGAGGCACCACUCUCCAGAUUUCGAAGAGGCACCACUUUCCACACACAACAUCAGCUCCUCGGGUACCACAGAUAACUUUGCCAAAGAUCUCUGACAAAAUUUUGACACAUAAAUUUUGAAGGUCCAGCUACCCUACUAUUACCUACAAGGGUAAAGGAACAACACCACUGCUUGAUAACUAGAAAGUCUCAAUGUGUGUCAACCUCCGUGCUCCGUGGCAAGGAAGACUGGCAAAAAUGCCCAACCUUUACUCACAAUCGAGAAAACACUCCCAAUAGGAUUACUUUAUCUAAAAUCGAAGAGACACUGCUUUCCGAAUCUUAAGAGUUAGACUCCCAACAGGAUUGCUUUCUCAAAAAUCGAAAAGGCAUCGUUCUCUGAAUCUCGAGAGCCAGAUCCCCGACAGGAUUGCUUGUUCGAAAAUCGAAGAGGCACCGCUCUUCGAACUUCGAGAGCCAGAUUUCCUUGGAUAAAGCUUGUCUGCAAUCUUCACACGUAACAUCAGCUUUCCAGAUACCACAUACCACUUUUUCAAAGCGCUCUGACAAAGGUAAAAUAUGUGAAGCUUGCGGCUCCCACUACAUUGCUAUGACCAAGAAGGGUAACAAAAUAACAUUAUUACUUGCUCAAAAAUCGAAGAGGCAUCACCUUCCGAAUCUCGAGAACCAGACUCCCAAUAGGAAUACUUUCUAAAAAAUCGAAGAGGCAUCGCUCUCUGAAUCUCAAGAGCUAGAUUCCCAACAGGGUUGCUUUCUCAAAAAUUGAAGAGGCACUGCUCUCCGAAUCUUGAAAGCCAGAUCCCCGACAUGAUUGCUUGUUCAAAAAUCGAAGAGGCAUCGCUCUCCGAACUUUGAGAGCCAGAUUUCCUUGGAUAAAGCUUGUCUACAAUCUUUACACGCAACAUCAGCUUUUCGAAUACCACAUACCAUUUUUUCAAAAUGCUCUGACAAAGUUAAAACACGUGAAGCUUGCAGCUCCCACUACAUUGCUACGACCAAGAAGGGUAAAGGAAUAGCAUUACUGCUUGUUGUUAGGGAGACUCCUAUAAAUGUGGACCUUCAUCCUCCACAGACAUGCAGACCAGCAAAAAUGCUCAACCCUUCCUCAUAUUUGAAAGGGCACUCCCAAUGAAGCCUCUCGAAAUACUCAGCCUUCUUCCCCCCCCCAAUAAUACCUAUGCAAACCAGCAACACCAGAGCAAGAGUAUCUCAUAUCAUCAGGGUCAAAAGCAAGAGUAUCCCAUAUCAUAUUUUUUCCUUGUCUUUUCCUUUGCCCUUGUUCUUACCUGCAAGACAAGGAGAAAGAGAGCAAUCAAUCAGCACUUGGAAUCAAGCUUCCAAUCAUGAACUGACUGCCUGGAACCCCUUGCCUGAUUACUUACCUGGCAUUGCUCUCGAGUACUCAUCUUCAACAUCUUAUGAUUUCAGAAAAGAUACCACAUUUACCUGAGGAACAAAUAGGGCAAAUGAGAAGGAUACAAGGAAGCAUGUGGAGACAAGCGCAACAGAACACAUGCCGAUUCAUCUAUUACUUCGUCAACAGCAAAAGUAUCCCAUAUCAUCAAGGUCGAACGCACUUUUAAUUUGAUGGACUUGUUUUGACCCUCAAAUUCUUGAGUCGGCCUUAUACUCUGGAGGAAACCAGAAAACCCUCCAGCCCAGUUCAAGAAUAAGCCUGUGGAAAGUUACUUCUUCAAAAGCAAAAGUAUCUCAUAUCAUCUCUUCUCCAUUUGCUUCUCCUUAUCCUUAUUGCUGUUUACGACACAAGGAGAAGGAGAACAAUCAACUGGAAGCCGAAGUCGAACCUCCGAUCCAAGUUGCUUGCUUGGAAGUCUGAUUGCUUACCUUGUCUGUUACCUCUUUCGGCAAAUCUCUUAGCUCGGCGACUUAGGGGACUCCUACUAUAGGGUUUUGUAUCGCACUUGACCAAGCCUGAAACUACAAGUAAGCUUCAAGUGAAAUUGAUACAUUACCUUGUGCAUCUUCAUCGGUUAAAGAUAUCACCCCUGGAUGGAGGAAAAGUACUUCCAGAGAAGAUGCAACAUCUACGUAUGAGACAGAUAAGGCAAGUGAAAAUGAUACCACACUUCGAUACUUAGAAGGUUCGUGAUUACUCAAUGGCUUGGAUCUUGCAAGUCCCCAACCGAGGAGCUUCCCUCACUCGGGAACUUAUGGGAGCACUGUUUGUACCAUACUUAACCAAUCCCGAAACUACUGAGCACCGGUCAAUGUUAUACCAUCAAGGACCCAGAAGAGUUUCCCUACAACCAGAAGGCCAAUCACAGCGUGACACGUGUCGACAUCAGAAGCCAAUCAUAACGCGACACGUGUCAACAUCAGAAGCCAAUCACAACACGACACGUGUCAAUGUCAGAAUGAAACUAGAAACUCUCUUCUAUAAAUAGAGAUCUCACAAUAUUUCCUAAUGUCAUUUGUACUAAAUCAUUCACUAGUACUUACUAAAGAAAAGCUUGAACUUAUGUAUUUGUGUAAACCCUUCACAAUUAAUGAGAACUCCUCUACUCUGUGGACGUAGCCAAUCUGGGUGAACCACUUACAUCUUGUGUUUGCUUCCUUGUCCCUACCCAUUUACAUACUUAUCCACACUAGUGACUGGAGCAAUCUAGCGAAGGUCACAAACUUAACACUUUCUGUUACCAAAGUCCUCACUAAUUUUGUGCAUCAACAACUUCAAAAUCAACACUAACCCAUAAAAGCAAUCUCACAAUUCCACAAUGUCAUGGAUAAAUCCAAUUAUAUCAUUCGUAUCCUCUCAAGUGACAAAUUUCACUUGCUUUGUAAUAACUUAGAGGCUACUGUAAAUUUGUGAUUAGGGGUUGGUCAAGGGACUUACCUACACUCUUAUUUAAUCUUUUUACUUGAUUUUAAUGGAUUAUUCAAUUCAAUGAUGGAAAAUUUUAAAAAGAUAGUGAUAGUAUAAUUAAAAAUAAUAUAUUUGUAAAGAGUAAGUUGAGUGUAAUAAAAGAUUAUACGAGUUCGGCCGGAUUUGCCAGACUUUUGAUAUUGGGUGGUCCCAAUAUUGAAGUUGAACAAUUCGGCCGGAUUGGAAACAUCCGAAAUUAGAGCUGAACUACUAGGAAUAACAUUGUCCAAACUAAUCGAUAAUAAUUUUCGCGUGUUAUACCAUUUGUACUUCUAAUUUAUACCCAUCAAUUAUUAAACAAAACAUUAUAUCAGUUAAUGAAACUAAAGUGUGUCUAUAUAUAAACUAACCAACACAUGAUAAAAUUAAUAUCAAAACAACAUCAAUUACAAUCUAUGAUUAUUAUAAAUAUUAGGGAUCUAAAAUUUUCAUUCAAUACACAUAAAUUUUCAUAACAUUUGAUAUUAUUAAUCUGGAUUACGACUAAAAAAAUUAUUUAAACUUAGAUAUUAGGACAUUAUAAAUAAAAUAAAAUAAAGAAGAAGGAGAAAUUAAGAAAUUAGGUGGUGGUGGAGAGGAGAGAAGUGGAGCAGGUGUGGUGGCUUGGUCGGCGGAAGGAAAAAGGGAAUUGGAAUAGGAGGAAAAAACACAUUGGCUUACUGGGCUUAUUGGGCAUUAGGGGGCCUGUAAAGAAAAUGGAAGGGGAUUAUAUUUAAAAGAGAGAAUCAUGUGGCUAUUAAAAAAAAGGGCACAUGUUUUUUUUAAAUGUAUUGGAUCCAAACAAGUCGUUUUGGCCCAUUCAUUUAAAAAGGGAACAGUUUGUUCUUCAUUAUCCAUCUGCUGCAGCCUGCACAGCCAGCAGCUGCUGCUGAUACCUCUCCUCCACCAUGUUCGGGUGGUCACCGAAGGUCGUUACAACUACCUCUUUGGACCUUUGGAGGGUCCUGGGACCACCCAGGUCCUUGAAUGGAUCCACAUUUGUGUCUAGGAGAUAAAAGAGGUGUGUAAUUACCUUUUUCAUAUUCACUUAUCACUAUAAAAAUGAAAAUGAAAAAAAAAAGAAAAAAAGAAGAGAAAAAGGCCAAGACUUUGAAGUUUGGCUUAAAGCUGUGUUCUGCUUUAAAAUUCUGGUUUUGGGACUAAGCAAGUGCAUGAUGGAAUGCAAAUAUCUAUAAAAUGAAUAUCCAUCAAUUUACAUAGAAGCCUCAUAACAAUAUGAUCCGAAACUACAUGGAAAGCUUUAGAUUAUUUAUUGGGAACCCGAAGAGCACGGACUAGUGUGAAUGUGACUCGUCAUCUACGCUCGUAUGUAGGGGUGAAAUUUCUCGCUUUCUUCCCCACUUCCUUUUUUGUGUGUCUUAUAUCAAUAGCCCUAGUCCCACUAGAAAGAUGUGGAAAGAUUUCAAAGUCAACAACGCACAAGUCGUUUGGAGCUGUAGCUAUCUAUCUGCAAUUUUCAGUCUCAAUCAAAACUAGAGACAGAGAGAAGAGAAAUAUAGACUAUAAAGAUUGUAACAGCUGCAGGGCAAAAUGGGGCCUGAUACCUUGAAAAGAAAAUUAAAAAUAGGAACGUGUUUGGAUAUAGAGAAAAUUAGAAAGUCAGAGAAACUUUAACGCAAUGAUAAUUAUUCCACUGCUUCCUUUUUGGUAUAGAAAAGCUAAUGCUUUGUUUCAAUUGAUUGACUAGUUAAAUGAAAUCAUCACAGCUCAUCUAAACAGCAAUAGGUUUCGUUUUGGGAUGACAACGGUUUGGUUUGGCUGACGAAAAUGAUACAUCCAUUCUCAUAACUACAAAAAUUAACCAUAUCCAAAACUGCAAAUUAACCAUCGAGAAUUAUCUAUAACCAUACCUACCGAGUAAAAGAUUUUCUAUCGAUUAACAGUUAUAUUCAUCUUCGUCAAUAUAAAAAAUAUAUUCGUUUUUUUUUUCAUAAAAAUAUAAUAUAAUAUAUACAUUGAUGAUAUUGGCUAAUAUAUGUGGGAAUCCUUUAACAAGAGGGAUCCCCAUUUUUCUAAAAAAAUGGGGACACCCUCGACUGUCAAAUUGACUUUUAAUGAAAUUGUGUUGUUGAGAUUGUGUGGCCUGUGAUUUAAUCUCAACCACAAAAUUUCAUUAAAAUCAAUCUAACGGUCAAGAGGGUAUUAGAAAAAUGGGGAUCCCUCUUGUUAAAGGGUAUGUGUGCGUGUAUAUAUAUAUAUAUAUAUAUAUAUAUAUAUAUAUAUAUAUAUAUAUAUAUAUAUAUUAUAGAAUACUAUAUAUUUUAUACAAAUUGUAUUAUAUAUGUAAUAUGUACUAUUCGGGUCGGAUUUAGGGAUGGAUAUGAAUCGACAACCACAAUAAUCAUAUCCGAAACAAUAACUUAAUAAUAUUUUCGGUUUUUCCCCAUAUCCGAAAUAUAACCGAAUUUUCAUUCCCAAAUCCAUUCCAUUCGGGCGAUUAUCUACGAUUAUCAGGUUUAAUGGUUUGAACUGUCAUCCUUAGUUUCGUGCGACUAUAUGCCCAAACUAGUUUUCGUCACUAACAGAUGCUUAGAAACAAGAUACUCUAUAUUGUCAAUUAGCUUUUAUGGUAGAACCGUAGCAUUUCAUGAUAUCAGAGCAAGUUGUCAUAUGUCUGAAGCCCAACUGCCACACGUCACCUGAUUUGUGUUGUCUACAUGUUAAGUUGGAGAACUUACCACACGUGAAGGGUGCAUUGAGAGUAUGAAUCACAGAUCAAAGAAAUAAGGGAAUCUCAACUUUGUUCUAAUUUGGUAAGUGGGAAGAAAGCUGUGAUUAUUCAUCAUCCUUCACUUGGAGGACACAAAUCGGAUGAUUUCGAACAUGUUGACUGUUGAGUUUCGCACGUAGAAUAAUUUGUUUUGAUACCAUAAAGAAAAUUGAAGUUCUACUAUAAAACCAAUUAACAGUAUGGAGAGUAGCCAAAUUAUUUAUAAACAAAUAUAAGAUCUUUUAUUUUUUUUCAAUGUAAAAUUCAUACUCUCAACAAAACCCUUGCAAACACAGAAUGCAAUGUUGGCCCUGGCCCACCCACCCCACACCCGCCCCCUCCCCCUCCCCCUCUUUCUUUCUCUUUCUUUCUUUCUCUUUCUCUAGUCCAUACUUUUUCUGGUUAAUGCAGAGAGGAGAAGAGAAUAAAAGACUUGAUAAGUCAAGCCAACCACACAUUUCAUGCAUGGAAGCUUUUUCCAAUUCCAUAAAAUCAUUAAUAUUUAAUGAAACUAAACGAAAUUUUCCUCCUUUUUUUUCACUUUCCCUGAACUUCUCACAAAGAUUAUAAUAUACAAAAAUGAAAACUGUGCUCCGAUUUUUCUUCUUUCUUGAUUGCUGAGUUAGCCCGGCUGCCACGGUGUAUCCAAGUUGACAGCAAGUGUAACCAAGACUUGAGGAAGAAUAAAUGGUUCAAAAUCAUUGAAAUUCAAUGUGAAAUAAACCCCCUAAAUAAUCCCAAUGAAAUAAGAACUGUGAUUUUUAGUGUAGCAUUUUAAUUAAUUAUGCCCUUCUAGUUGGUUUUGAAAUAUUUUGUUUUGUAUUUCUCAGCUUGAUUUGCAAUAAAUAUCCUUGAACUCGUACCAUUGACGUUCUGAUGUGCGGAAAUGUCAAAUAUAAAAUUAAUAAAUUAAUAUGAAAAAUAUGGCAAAAUAAAUAAUUCAAAGGGAUUGUAUUUCUUUUAUUUUAUGUUAUAUUGUUGAAUUUAAUAUGAUUUGUACGAGUAGAAAAGGUAAUUUGAGUCUUAAAUUUGAGAAACACAACGAAUUUUCGAGUGGGCCGUGAGCAGUGAUGAGCUAGAGCAAGUUCAAGAUGGAGCGGUGCAACUUUAAAGGAUCGGGAUCACUAAAGUCCAGCCCAAUUAAAGAUGGCGGUGCUGUUGAUGUUUCCCAAAAAGGAUGGGCUUUGAUUCUGUAAAAGUUAAGCUUUGAUUAUUCCUUGAUCUUCAAUGAAAGAGAGGAGCCAAAUCCUAAAUUGGAUUAAAUUGCUGAUGACCUUUAUUGAAGAAUUUUAAACACACACAUAUAUAUAUAUGGCUAAUUCGUUUCACCAUUUUUUUUUACACAAUUUUCUAUACCCGUUUUGUGGGCCUACUCCGUAUUGUAUUUUAACGAUCCAAACCAUUUAUCUUUUAUAAAAUCAUUAAAAGAUCAUUUUUACAAAAAUUAGGCAAAUCCAAAACCAAUCAGACAUUCAUUUGUAGACUUAUAGUGAAGAAAAUGGAUAAAUUCCAUUCUACAAAGAAACACUAAUACGUAAUCUAAGAGUUAUAUGGUUUUAGAUUUGGACAUUUUUUCUAGAUAUGAUCCUUAAUGAAAUACCUAAAAGAUUGACGGUUCGGAUCGUUGAAGUACCGACUGUUUUUCUUGGUUCAGUGUUACUUGCAGUAAUAAUGGACAUGUUGUUGGCCUGGACAUUAGCAACCAAACUUUCUCCAGUGGGAUUGACAAUUCGAGCAAUCUCUUUGGUCUUCAACAGCUUCAAGGCCUCAAUUUAGCCAAUAGCCGAUUUGGCUAUGGUUCUCGCAUUCCAUCUGCAAUUGGAAAGCUUACAAACUUGAGGUACCUAAAUUUAUCAUGCAACUUUUGUUGCGUCUAGGGGAAAAUUCCACUUGAGAUUUCACAAUUGACAAGGUUGGUUGUCCUUGAUAUUUCUUAAUCUUACAAUCCGUGGUACAUGCCACUUGAGACCCCUAAUUUAAGCACGAUCUUUCACAACCUCACAGGUUUCACAGAGCUAUAUCUUGUUAGAAUUUGGAUUAUAAGGGAGAAAUGGUGCAGGAAUGAUUAACAAAACAAAAAGAAUUUCAUUGGGAUUUCAGCUUGCAAAACAUGGUGGCAGCACUGAGUAUUUCAUUUUAUCAUAAAAAAAGCGGACAUUCAUAUAUGCAAGAAAUGCAGGUAGUGGAUGUGUAAAUCUCAGCCAUUCACAUGACCUAAUCCUAGCCCUACAUCUGUUCCAAGUGACUAGGAUUAUACCUGCUGAUCGUAUCAAAAUGUAGCUGUUACUCCUUUAAACAAAACUAGCCGUUAUUGAGGUUUAAGCCUCUCAGUUUUGUCUUUGAAACUCAAGGCUGCAACCCAGCUUACAUUUCAACACUCCCAUUUAAGCUGUUUCCAGACUUGAUUCCAAGCAAUCCUCUGACAUAUGCGAACCUCUCUUUAGGCUGUGGCUUGGUAAAGAUAUCAGCCACCUGGUCGUCAGUUUUGCAGUAAAGUUGUUGGAUCACAUUUUGCUACAAUGUGUCCUGAUGAAAUGGUACUUCCUUUUGAUGUGCCUUGUCUUGUGAUGAAACACAGAGUUCUUAGUCAUUGCAAUUGCUGACAAUUGUCACACAUCAGCGGAGUAGCUUCCAAUUGAACUUCACCAAAAUAUUUUAGCCCAAAUCUGAGCCAUUUGGUCUGAGGUGUUGCUUCUGCAGCAGCCACAUACCAGCUUCUGCAGCAGACAAUGCAAUUGUUUGUUGCUUGACAGAAGCCCUUGAAAACACUCAUGAUCCAAGGGUGAAAGCAUACUCAGCUUAUGCCCAGGUAUUUUACGAGUCAAGAAAUAUAUGAACUGUGCUUUAUGGUUUCACUGUCACAUUUUAAUUUAACUAUGUUGUAGUUAGUUUUGGAAGUCAUUUUGUAUCGUUCUAUUUUACUUUCAGUAAAUUUCCUUGUACCGUUGAGGUUUUGUAAUACUAAUAAGUGUCAAUUCGUCCCCAAUGCUAACCUUUCCAUUUCCUUUUUAACAAUUUUCUAGGAUGGAUAUUCAAACAUAUAUAGAACCCUAAGUCUGUAAAUUUGUUAUCAAUUUUCUAUUAUGAAAUGAACUUAGCUAAACCUGUAUCCCAAAUAAUAUUAGCUCUCUGUUAUUUUCAGUCUCGGUACAAAUUCUCCACCUGCCUGAAUUGCUGCAAUUAGUAGUCAACUUAGUUGAACUGAGCCUAUUAUAAUGUCUGAAUUUUAAAGGGAAUUCAUACUAUUUUGCUUUGGUUUUUGGAUGAAGACUUAUUUGUCCGAACCGAAGCACAAUAAUGUAGAUCAGAAAAAUAAAAAUGGCCUUGACAAGAAAAAGAACAAAACAAAACUUGCGAUGAUAUUAAUUUUGCAAUGAGAUUAUAUUAAUUUGUUUCAUGAAAAUGUAGUCUUGUUGAGAAUGAAUCUCACAUUAAUGAGAGAAGAGAUCUUGCAUAUACUUAUAAGAGAUUGAGUUAUUCCCCAUAUUGCUAAUUGGUUUUAUGUUUAUGAUGGAACCUCAACUUUCUUCAGGUCUUAUAUAUAGAUAGACUGAUCUUUGUAGAGACAAAAUUUCAUGCCUUCUUCUCUCCGCUAUCUAGUUGCUUUUCUCUACGCUAUGUAGUUGAUUUCCACAUCGUAAUUAGUCGAGCAGUGAUCAAAAGUCAACAAGCAAAUGAAAAUGCAUAGGAAAUCAACAAUGAAUCAAACAAUUUUACUUGGUUAUAUAUUCUUCUUUUGUUGUAAUCGCUUGUUUUGGCUUUGGUUUUUGGAAAUUAGAUCUUUGCAUUUAUGUGUUUUGCAUGUAGCUCCUUUUUUGUUUGAUAACAUGAACAUUUAGUUUGUUUUGUCUUCGAUUUUCGACUGUUUGUUCUAUUCUCACAGUGACACAAAAAUAUGACCCAAUCCAAAACUAAAUUGAAUUCUUUACUCCCGCUGUCAACAAAUGCGUCGUAUUGGCAAUGCAAUUUUGACAAGAAACUUUGGAUGACCCAAUAAUAUCAAUAAUUGAAUUAAGUAAUCGAAGUAGGUAUCAUAUUGGGAAUCCGUCGUUCCUACAAUUGAUAAUAAUUUGAUAUAUCGUUUCUCUCUCUGCCCCUAUCGCCAUGUGAAUUAAGAUAAAAUCUCUCUCCGGCCCUACACCUAUCUUAGUUCAAACCUACUCCACUAGAAAAAUGGGGGAAAUACUUCAAAGUCAGCAACUCAUGCCAACCAAAAAUCUCCUGCGGAAGAUUUUUCCACGACAUUAAAGGCACAUCAUUGUCUAAUACAUUUCUGCAACGUUUUAAUAUUACUAGCAACGGUUUACAGAUAUAGAUGGGAGAUAGACUUCGUCAAGUCAGCAGCGAUGAAAAUUAAUUUAAGGCCACCACGACAAUCCUCAGUUCUUCACCAAACACUUCCCUUGAUCAGCUUGCAAAAAUGAAAACUUUACAAUCUUUCGUCCUCCUAUUCUUCUUCAUUAUCUGUGAUAAUAUCACAACUGGAGUGUACAUAGGCCUGGCAAUUCCUGACACGACCCGAUAACCCGACACGACACGACACGAAAUUAACAAGUGUUCGGGUCGACACGAUAACGAAACGGGUGCUUAUCGGGUAACCCGAUAAGCACCUGUUAAGAUAACGGGUUUGUUCGGGUAUACACGUGGGUAACACGAUACACGAUAAGCAGAAUAUUAAUUUAAUAAUUUAUAACCCUAAAAAAAUACUAUAAUAAUUAUAUAUAUAUUAAUUUAACAAUUUUAUACCCCUAAAAACUAUAAUAAUUAUAUAUAUAUAUAUAUAUAUUAAAUUAACUAUAAUAAUUAUAAUAAUUAUAUAUACUAUAAUAAUUAUACCCAAAAUAUUAACUAUAAUAAUUAUAUAUAUAUAUAUAUAUAUUAAAUUUUAUACCCCUAAAAACUAUAAUAAUUAUACAUACAAAAUAAAUAGAUUUAAAUCUACUUAAUAAAUAAAUAUAUAUAUAUACACACACACACACACCAUUGAUCUUCAUGGGAUACGAAUUAUACGAAACUAAUUUCAACGAUCCAACCGUCAAACAUGUUUGUAUAUACUUCGAGAUCGCAUACGCCAAAAAUUGCAAAAAACAAACAUUCAGAGAGCAAGUAACGGGACAAAACUUUUCGACGGUUAUAAACGAAAAAUCACGAUUUAACGGUCAUUUUAACUCCGAUUUUGAUGAUUUUUUACAACCACACUCCUUGACCCUAUACGAAUACAAUGAUUGAAUUCGAUCUUCAAUUUAAAAUAUUUACACUAGUGGAUUAUGUUAUACUUAAUAAAAGUAUGAAUAAACUCUUAAGUAUUAGUGAAUCUAUUGUUUUGAUGGGAUACUCAUUCUACAAAACUAGUUUCAAUGAUCCAACCGUCAAACAUGUUUGUAUAUACUUCGAGAUCGCAUACGCCAAAAAUUGCAAAAAACAAACAUUCAGAGAUCAAGUAAUGGGACAAAAGUUUUCGACGGUUAUAAACAAAAAAUCAGGAUUUAACGGUUAUUUUAACUCCGAUUUUGAUGAUUUUUUACAACUACACUCCUUGACCCUAUAUGAAUACAAUGAUUGAAUUCGAUCUUCAAUUUAAAAUAUUUACACUAGUGGAUACCACAAAAUCUUAUGUUAUACUUAAUAAAAGUAUGAAUAAACUAUUAAGUAUUAGUGAAUUUAUUGUUUUGAUGGGAUACUCAUUCUACGAAAUUAGUUUCAAAGAUCCAACCGUCAAACAUGUUUGUAUAUACUUCGAUAUCGCAUACGUCAAAAAUUACAAAAAACAAAUAUUCAGAGAUCAAUUAACGGGACAAAACUUUUCGACGGUUAUAAAAAGAAAAAUCACGAUUUAACGGUCAUUUUAACUCUGAUUUUGAUGAUUUUUUGCAGCUACACUCCUUGACCUUAUAUGAAUACAAUGAUUGAAUUCGAUAUUCAAUUUAAAAUAUUUACACUAGUGGAUACCACAAAAUCUUAUAUUAUACUUAAUAAAAGUAUGAAUAAACUAUUAAGUAUUAGUGAAUAUAUUGUUUUGAUGGGAUACUCAUUCUACGAAACUAGUUUCAAUGAUCCAACCGUCAAACAUAUUUAUAUAUACUUCGAGAUCGCAUACGCCAAAAAUUGAAAAAAACAAACAUUCAGAGAUCAAGUAACGGGACAAAACAUUUCGACGGUUAUAAACGAAAAAUCACGAUUUAACGGUCAUUUUAACUCUGAUUUUGAUGAUUUUUUGCAGCUACACUCCUUGACCUUAUAUGAAUACAAUGAUUGAAUUCGAUAUUCAAUUUAAAAUAUUUACACUAGUGGAUACCACAAAAUCUUAUAUUAUACUUAAUAAAAGUAUGAAUAAACUAUUAAGUAUUAGUGAAUAUAUUGUUUUGAUGGGAUACUCAUUCUACGAAACUAGUUUCAAUGAUCCAACCGUCAAACAUGUUUGUAUAUAUUUCGAGAUCGCAUACGCCAAAAAUUGCAAAAAACAAACAUUCAGAGAGAACGUAACGGGACAAAACUUUUCGACGGUUAUAAACGAAAAAUCACGAUUUAACGGUUAAUUUCACUCCGAUUUUGAUGAUUUUUUACAACUACACUCCUUGACCUUAUAUGAAUACAAUGAUUGAAUUCGAUCUUCAAUUUAAAAUAUUUACACUAGUGGAUACCACAAAAUCUUAUAUUAUACUUAAUAAAAGUAUGAAUAAACUAUUAAGUAUUAGUGAAUCUAUUGUUUUGAUGGGAUACUCAUUCUACGAAACUAGUUUCAAUGAUCCAACCGUCAAACAUGUUUUUAUAUAUUUCGAGAUCGCAUACGCCAAAAAUUGCAAAAAACAAACAUUCAGAGAGCAAGUAACGGGACAAAACUUUUAAACGGUUAUAAGUGAAAAAUCACGAUUUAACGGUUAAUUUAACUCCAAUUUUGAUGAUUUUUUACAACUACAUUCCUUGAACUUAUAUGAAUACAAUGAUUGAAUUCGAUCUUCGAUUUAAAAUAUUUACACUAGUGGAUACCACAAAAUCUUAUGUUAUACUUAAUAAAAGUAUGAAUAAACUCUUAAGUAUUAGUGAAUCUAUUGUUUUAAUGGGAUACUCAUUCUACGAAACUAGUUUCAAUGAUCCAACCGUCAAACAUGUUUGUAUAUAUUUCGAGAUCGCAUACGCCAAAAAUUGCAAAAAAAAAACAUUCAGAGAGAAAGUAACGGGACAAAACUUUUCGACGGUUAUAAACGAAAAAUCACGAUUUAACGGUUAAUUUAACUCCGAUUUUGAUGAUUUUUUACAACUACACUCCUUGACCCUAUAUGAAUACAAUGAUUGAAUUCGAUCUUUAAUUUAAAAUAUUUACACUAGUGGAUACCACAAAAUCUUAUGUUAUACUUAAUAAAAAUAUGAAUAAACUAUUAAGUAUUAGUGAAUCUAUCGUUUUGAUGGGAUACUCAUUCUACGAAACUAAUUUCAAAGAUCCAACCGUCAAACAUGUUUAUAUAUACUUCGAGAUCGCAUACGUCAAAAAUUACAAAAAACAAACAUUCAGAGAUCAAUUAACAGGACAAAACUUUUUGACGGUUAUAAAAAGAAAAAUCACGAUUUAACGGUCAUUUUAACUCUGAUUUUGAUGAUUUUUUGCAGCUACACUCCUUGACCUUAUAUGAAUACAAUGAUUGAAUUCGAUCUUCAAUUUAAAAUAUUUACACUAGUGGAAACCACAAAAUCUUAUGUUAUACUUAAUAAAAGUAUGAAUAAACUAUUACGUAUUAGUGAAUCUAUUGUUUUGAUGGGAUACUCAUUCUACGAAACUAGUUUCAAUGAUCCAACCGUCAAACAUGUUUAUAUAUACUUCGAGAUCGCAUACACCAAAAAUUGAAAAAAACAAACAUUCAGAGAUCAAGUAACGGGACAAAACAUUUCGACGGUUAUAAACGAAAAAUCACGAUUUAACGGUCAUUUUAACUCCGAUUUUGAUGAUUAUUUACAACCACACUCCUUGACCUUAUAUGAAUACAAUGAUUGAAUUCGAUCUUCAAUUUAAAAUAUUUACAUUAGUGGAAACCACAAAAUCUUAUGUUAUACUUAAUAAAAGUAUGAAUAAACUCUUAAGUAUUAGUGAAUCUAUUGUUUUGAUGGGAUACUCAUUCUACGAAACUAGUUUCAAUGAUCCAACCGUCAAACAUGUUUGUAUAUAUUUCGAGAUCGCAUACGCCAAAAAUUGCAAAAAACAAACAUUCAGAGAGCACGUAACGGGACAAAACUUUUCGACGGUUAUAAACGAAAAAUCACGAUUUAACGGUUAAUUUCACUCCGAUUUUGAUGAUUUUUUACAACUACACUCCUUGACCUUAUAUGAAUACAAUGAUUGAAUUCGAUCUUCAAUUUAAAAUACUUACACUAGUGGAUACCACAAAAUCUUAUGUUUAUACUUAAUAAAAGUAUGGUAUAGUACUAUUGUUUUAUUUUUUUUCAUAAUUAUUUUGGUAAACUUCUCAUAAUUUGAAUGAUUUUUAAUGUUUGGUUUUUCUAUGCUUAGUUUAUGCAGAAGAUAGUUAUGACGUGGAAAACCUUACUGAAGACAUCAUCAACAUAACUCUUGAAGGUAAUAGAUCAAACCAAAGUUCCAAUGCAAUUUCAUGAUGAUCGAUGUAAAUCGAGGAUUUUGUAAAUUGAGGUUUAAACUUUUGAGAAAGAUUUCACAACUUUGAAAACAAAAACUGUUUCAUUUUGCAUAUCCUUGCACAUUUAAAAUUUGUAAUAGAUUAGUAGUGUAUGUAUUAUUUUUUUAUUAGGCUCUUAUUUUCGAGUGUAGAUGUAGUACUUAAACGACAAAUGUGUUUUAAUGUUUUGAAGUAAUAUUUAUGUGGCAAUGUGUGGUAUGUGCAAAUUUAAGAAAAAAAAUAUAUUUUUCUUAACGGGUCAUAACGGGUCGGGUCACUUUACCCGUUGGGUAAAGUGACACGACCUGUUAAGGACCCGUUAAGAUAACGGGUGUGACACGACACGACCCGUUAAGAUAACAGGUGUUACACGAACACGACUGACACGACCCGUUUGCCAGGCCUAAGUGUACAGCCAGUGUGUCAAAGACCAGCAACUGUCAUUGCUCCAUUUGAAGAAAAACCUUACGUUUGAUGAUGCUGAUGAUUCAGUGGGAUAUUCUCCGGUUUUGUCCAAGUUUAUAUCGUGGAAUUCAAGUACCGACUGUUGUUCUUGGGUCGGUGUUUCUUGCGGUACCAACGGGCGUGUUGUCGGUCUUGACAUUAGCAGCCAAUACAUCUCGGGUGGCAUUGACAGCUCCAGCAGUCUCUUCGAUCUUCAGCAUCUUCAAAGCCUCAACUUGGCCGAUAACCAUUUUGUUGACGGCUCUCUCAUUCCAUCUGCAAUCGGAAAGCUGACAAACUUGAGGUAUCUAAAUUUAUCAAAUAACGUUUAUUUCGGGAAAAAUCCCAUUGAGAUUUCACGCUUGACAAGGUUGGAGGUUCUUGAUAUUUCUCAACGUUACAAUAACGGGCGCCGCAAACCACUUGAAAGCCCGAAGUUCAGCAUGCUCUUUCAGAACCUCACAGAGCUUAUAGAGCUUUAUCUUGACGGUGUAGAUAUAUCAGUAGAGAAGACUCACUGGUGCCAAGCGAUAUCAUCUUCACUGCCAAACCUAAGGGUGUUGAGCUUAUCUCGAACUAAUCUUUCGGGUCCUAUCGAUCAAUCCCUCGCUAAGCUUCAGUCUCUAUCAGUGAUUCAAUUGGGUGGUUUUGGCAACAACAUCUCCGGUCCAAUUCCAGGAUUCUUUUCCAACUUUUCAAACCUAACGGUGUUGAACUUGGACGGAAACAAUAUCUCUGCUCCGGUUCCAAGAUUCUUUGCCAAUUUUUCAAAGUUGACUACCUUGAGUUUAUGUAAUUGUGGUUUACGUGGAGCAGUUCCAAAGCAGAUUUUUCAGGUACCUACUCUACAAACUCUUGACCUCUCCUUUAAUCCGGAACUUCAUGGUUCUUUGCCAGAAUUUCCCAAGAAUGGAUCUCUUCAAUCCUUGAUUUUAAGCGAGACAAGCUUUUCAGGGUUAUUGCAUGACUCUAUUGGCAACCUCAACAUGUUGUCCACACUAGACCUUUCCAAAUGCAAUUUCACUGGAUCAAUCCCAAAGUCAAUCGGGAACCUAUCUAAAUUGGUUGAUUUGGACGCGUCAUCAAACCUGUUUAAUGGUCCAAUUAGUUCUAUUCAUUGGGAAAACCUUAUUAAUCUGGUACAUCUCCAUUUGGACAACAAUCAACUGGUGGGGAGUAUUCCGUCAUCUCUGUUUUCUCUUCCCUUGUUGCCAGACUUGGUACUUUCCUAUAAUAAUUUCUCUGGGCAACUCCCUGAAAAUUUUAACGUCUCUUCUAGUUUAGUUACUUUCAUUGAUUUGAGUUUCAACAAUUUAGAAGGACCAGUACCCGUGUCUAUCUUUAAUUUUCAAGGGCUUGAAACCCUCACUCUUUCUUCAAAUAAUUUCAGUGCCUUUCCUUUUAAUGGUCCUCAUCAGCUGCCAAAACUUACGAGCAUUGAUCUUUCACACAAUAGCUUGCUGGUUUUAUACAAGGGCAGCAAUUCCUCAUACUCUUCAUUUCCUCAAAUUAUUGAUUUCAGUUUGGCUUCUAACAAGUUGAGAACAUUCCCAGUUUUCUUGAGAAAUCAAACUAGUUUACGAAGUUUGGACCUUUCGGAUAACCAAGUUCAAGGCCAACUACCCAAUUGAUUUGGAAGUUUGAUUCUCUCGAAUACCUAAAUGUUUCAUGUAACUCUUUAGAAACUCUAGAAACUCCUUUCCUCAACUCCACAUCUCAUGUAUCUGUGCUUGACCUUCAUUUGAACCAGCUUAAGGGGCCAAUUUCAAUUGUUCCACCAUAUGCCCAUUAUCUGGAUUACUCAAACAAUCAUUUCAGUUCUAGUAUUCCAAUCUCAAUAUGCAAUGCAAGUGAUCUUCUCACUCUUGAUUUGUCCAAUAAUACUCUGAGUGGCGAGAUUCCCCAAUGCUUGGCUGCAAUGAGUACACUCAGGAUACUUAAUGUGAGGAAAAACAACAUUGCUGGAACUAUUACUAUUCCUGAAAAAUGUGACUCAUUAGAAACUCUAGACCUCAGCCAAAAUCAGAUCAGAGGUCAGUUACCAAAGUCUCUAGCCAUGUGCAGAAGGUUAAGAUUUUUAAACCUUGAAGAGAAUCAGAUAACAGACACCUUCCCAUGCUUGUUGAAGAACGUCUCCACCUUGAGCGUUCUUGCUUUGCGGUCCAACAAUUUCUAUGGAGGCAUUGGAUGUCCAGUAGUGAAGACCAAUGGCACCUGGCCCGUUCUUCAAAUCAUAGACUUAGCAUACAACAAUUUCAAUGGUGAAGUACCGGGAUUCUCUCU